AUGACUUUAUACAUAGCAAAAUUGCAAUGAUACAGAGAUUUUCAUGACCCCUCCACAGAGUUGACAAGCGAAUUUGUGAAAAGUUCCAUUUAAAA
rnacentral:snRNA from 1 species